rnacentral:rRNA from 1 species
CAAUAGCGUAUACUAAUGUUGUUGCAGUUAAAAAGCUCGUAGUUGAACUUCUGGUAGGAGUGUCCCGGCCUUUUUGUUUCUACAAAUUGUAUGCUGUGUGACAUCUCUGGCCAUCCUUCUUCUUUGUUUAAAGAAGAUCUUUCACUGUAAAAAAAUUAGGGUGUUCAAAGCAAAAGUUUCUUUGGAAUAUAUUAGUAUGGGAUGAUAAGAUAGGCUCUAGAUGCUAUUUUGUUGGUUUGCACAUUUAGAGAAUGAUUAACAGGGACAGUUGGGGGUAUUCGUAUUUACAUGUCAGAGGUGAAAUUCUUGGAUUUUGGAAAGACGAACUACUGCGAAAGCAUUUACCAAGGAUGUUUUCAUUAA